AUUGUGUGACUUCCAACCCUGUGUUGGUGACUUCACAAGAAAAAGAUGAAGUUACUGUUAGAGAUUAGCAUAUUUACCUAAUGAGAAUGAGUAUAUUUUCUUGUUUUCAGGAGUGACUUAAGAGAAGCUUCACCAGUACUGGUCUCAGCACAGACUAAGGAAGCUUUGGAGUUUUCCUUGAAAUUCUGGGCUGGCUGCUGCCUGCCUUCAGCUGUGAACCAGCCAUGGGGUCCCAGCCCUACAGCACUGAACACCCAAGUUCCUGCAGCUGAGCUGGGU